UAAGAAUAAGAAAGACCCAAUUCAAUCUAAUAAACAACAUGUGUAGUCUAUUCAAGAAGAUUGUUUAUCCCUUUAAUAUAACUUGAAAAUCUGGCUCUAAACAAGCUAUAUUAAUUGCUACAAAUUGUUAACUCAAUCAAACAAUUACGGAUUUGAUUGUAUUAACUAGCACCUGUCACUCUAAAUUAAUCAAAUAACUGGCCAUUUACUUAAUUAAAUAGAACAACAACAUCCAUCUAAACCAUUAAUUGCAAGAGAUAAACAAAUAUUGAAGAGUUAAAUGAGUAAAAAGAAGAACAAUUCUCACAACACUUCGGUAGAACUAGCACUUGAUUAAACCUUAAGCUCGAAUUGAAAUAAUUCAGCCACGUACGGCCAUUUCCAAGCUUACAAACUAAAGAAAAGAAUUAUUAACUCAAAACUCCGAUAUCCCAACUAAUAGCCCAUCUCUCCCUUUUAUAGAAGAGAAGAGAAGACUAUUUCAAAGGAAACUGAGAAAAAUAUAUUUACAAUCAAAUCAAAUCCAACAAAAUAAAAUCCCAUGAUCCUCUCUAUUCUUCAAAACCUUUGAAUAAAUCUUCCAAAAAAAAUCCAGCAGCUCCUCAUCCUCUGACUUAGUGAUUUUAUCCCAAAAGGCAAAUAAAUAGAGUCAAACUAAUACCUGCAUCUAUUUAAUCACAUAGACCAACAAACCCAUCAAAAAUACCAAAUUAUAUGACUAAAAUAGUUACAUUUUCAUAGG
rnacentral:lncRNA from 1 species